CAAUUACUUAAGAGAUGGAAUUGAUGUGUGAUUUAAGUUUCGAGGACGAAAUUUUUUAAGAAGUGGAGAAUGUAAUAUACCGAACUUCUAUAGUUAUGAAGUUUCAGUGGAUAUUAGCUUGAAAAGGCUAUUAAAAUAGUUCUAGUGAGGUCCGUUAAUCAUUUCGAGUGCUUCGGAGUGCAUUGCAUAAGUGGUUGGAA
rnacentral:lncRNA from 1 species